CGAAUGUAGAAAAGACCUAUCUUAAAAUUUUAAUCAGAAGAAAGACCAAAAUUGGUUAAUAUAUAAAUUUCUAUUACAGGAUGAGCUUCCCAAUUAUGAAAAUCUGGAAUCCCAAACACUUUUGGUCCCAAGCAUUUUGGGAAACAGGAUACCUGAAAGGUCAGAGGCUUCCCCUUGUGACCAAACCAGCUAAGACGAUGGGAUCCAAAGUGGCAGCUCACUUUACCUCUAAAGAACAUCUAACUUUAUCACAAUCUAAUUUCCACGCAAAAUGGCACUCCCUCCAGAGCCAUGACAGUUGACAGUCACCACUACAAUGGCAAGAAGAAAUCAUGAAGGACAAAAAAGGAGUGAUGCUCCAGCUCAAGAAGUUCAUCAUCUGUUCCCAGAAAAGACAUAAACAUUCUUUCGCUUGCUUCCAAUGCCCAACUCCUUCAUUAAAGAUACCCAAUAUCUGUGAUUUUCCAGCUCUCAUGAGCUUAGAAGCUGAUUUGUGAGUCAUGUGUCUGCUUUUCAAUACCAUGGUCAUUGAAUAAAGCCUGCACUGCUGGCUUUAUUUUUGUCUAUUGGCUUUGUCAUACCCAACAGGGAAAGACUCCAUCUUUUGGGGAAUUGUCUUUGUUGGGAACGUGAUGUGUGCAGGUGGCUGAAAAGUGCAUUUGGAUUCAUACUUGGCUUUUGCUGCUCUGCUGUCUUCAGUAAGAUGUGCUGAGGCUGGCCUGUCCAAGGAUAAAGAACAGAGAGCAGCAUGGAGUUGGCCAGCUCUUCCUCAGCCAACCCUCAUUCACUCACUGGGUGACCUCAGCCAAGAUCAGAACUUCCCAGCUGAAGUUCUAAUUCACUAACCCACAAGCCCAUGUGCUAAUAAAUGCUAUUAUACCCUUCUGAGUUUUCAUGGCUGUUUGCUAUGCAGCAUCAUUAUGCCAAUAGAUAACAGACAGAAGUAUUGCUGGCACCCCAUUUGAAGUCUGUGGCAGGUGGCCCUUAUUAGAAGGGCACACAAAUUCACAGCAGGUACCAGGUGGGUAAGUAAGCUCAUUUGAAUGUUGUCAAAAUAAAAAUGGAGUCACUAUCAUUUAAAAAAUCCUGACAAAUAGAGCCUGGAAAAUCCAUGAAGAGAGAGUUCUUAUGCUUAUAUGCCUGAUAACAAAAUUUAUCACAAAAAAACUGCAAAAAUUAGGAACUUGCACAAAGGCCAUCACAACCUUACACAAACAAUACUUCUAGAAGGACAUCCACCCAGCAACUGCCUGUCCAUCCUCAGACUGGUGUCACUCUUGUUAUUCAUCUUUGUAGCCACGGAUAAUUAUUUCAAAACUAGUAUGUAAUCUUCCUCAUUUUUUCCUUUAAAAACUAUUAUUUCUUUGCUUUGUUUGUGUGUUUUGUCCAACUCUUUGUUCAAGACUCCAAGAACCUGGACACCAUCCACCUGUAACAAAUCCACUUAUGAAAGUAGUUCCAAUGCCGGGAGGCUGAA
rnacentral:lncRNA from 1 species